rnacentral:misc_RNA from 1 species
AACGCAAAUUGCACUCGAGGCUCCGGCCAAGAGUAUGUCUGCCUCAGCGUCGGCUUUACCCUCACCUCCCCACUCGGGGGGCGUGGACCUGGCAGUCCCGGUCGGCGACGACCGGGUCCGCUGAAGACCAGAGGCUCGAGCAAGGACCCAAUCGGGACAACAGUCUGGUAGGUGACCCGCAAGGGCGCAUGCCGCUGUUCGCCCGGGACCUUGUUGGAAGCCGGCAGGAGUCGCCGGUCGCCCUAAGCGAGGCGGCCGUGCGAACACCCUUUUCGACCUGAGUUCAGGCAAGAACACCCGCUGAACUUAA